AUACGGAGACUACGAGCGUUACUCGGAUUCACUGGGCGUAAAGGGAGCGCAGGCGGAAUGGUGUGUUAGGUGUGAAAUCUCGGGGCUUAACUCCGAAAUUGCGCCUAAAACUAUCAAUCUAGAGUCUUGGAGAGGUAAGCGGAAUUUCCAGUGUAGCGGUAAAAUGCGUAGAGAUAUGGAGGAACACCAGUGGCGAAGGCGGCUUCCUGGUCUGUAACUGACACUGAGGCGCGAAAGCGUGGGGAGC
rnacentral:rRNA from 1 species